rnacentral:rRNA from 1 species
GCACAAUGGGCGCCAAGCCUGAUGCAGCGACGCCGCGUGAGGGAUGACGGCCUUCGGGUUGUAAACCUCUUUCAGUAGGGAAGGAAGCGAAAGGGACGGUACCUGCAGAAGAAGCGCCGGCUAACUACGUGCCAGCAGCCGCGGUAAUACGUAGGGCGCAAGCGUUAUCCGGAAUUAUUGGGCGUAAAGAGCUCGUAGGCGGUUUGUCGCGUCUGCCGUGAAAGUCCGGGGCUCAACUCCGGAUCUGCGGUGGGUACGGGCAGACUAGAGUGAUGUAGGGGAGACUGGAAUUCCUGGUGUAGCGGUGAAAUGCGCAGAUAUCAGGAGGAACACCGAUGGCGAAGGCAGGUCUCUGGGCAUUAACUGACGCUGAGGAGCGAAAGCAUGGGGAGCGAACAGGAUUAGAUACCCUGGUAGUCCAUGCCGUAAACGUUGGGCACUAGGUGUGGGGGACAUUCCACGUUUUCCGCGCCGUAGCUAACGCAUUAAGUGCCCCGCCUGGGGAGUACGGCCGCAAGGCUAAAACUCAAAGGAAUUGACGGGGGCCCGCACAAGCGGCGGAGCAUGCGGAUUAAUUCGAUGC